rnacentral:rRNA from 1 species
GACGAACGCUGGCGGCGUGCUUAACACAUGCAAGUCGAACGGAAAGGCCCUGCUUUUGUGGGGUGCUCGAGUGGCGAACGGGUGAGUAACACGUGAGUAACCUGCCCUUGACUUUGGGAUAACUUCAGGAAACUGGGGCUAAUACCGGAUAGGAGCUCCUGCUGCAUGGUGGGGGUUGGAAAGUUUCGGCGGUUGGGGAUGGACUCGCGGCUUAUCAGCUUGUUGGUGGGGUAGUUGCUUACCAAGGCUUUGACGGGUAGCCGGCCUGAGAGGGUGACCGGCCACAUUGGGACUGAGAUACGGCCCAGACUCCUACGGGAGGCAGCAGUGGGGAAUAUUGCACAAUGGGCGGUAGCCUGAUGCAGCAACGCCGCGUGCGGGAUGACGGCCUUCGGGUUGUAAACCGCUUUCGCCUGUGACGAAGCGUGAGUGACGGUAAUGGGUAAAGAAGCACCGGCUAACUACGUG